UCUCUGGUCCAUUCUUCCAAUCUUAGAGGUA
rnacentral:piRNA from 1 species